UACGUAGGGUGCAAGCGUUGUCCGGAAUUAUUGGGCGUAAAGAGCUCGUAGGCGGUUUGUCGCGUCGAAUGUGAAAACCCGGGGCUCAACCCCGGGCCUGCAUUCGAUACGGGCAGACUAGAGUUCGGUAGGGGAGUCUGGAAUUCCUGGUGUAGCGGUGAAAUGCGCAGAUAUCAGGAGGAACACCGGUGGCGAAGGCGGGACUCUGGGCCGAUACUGACGCUGGAGGAGCGAAAGCGUGGGGAGCAAACAGGA
rnacentral:rRNA from 1 species